rnacentral:lncRNA from 1 species
CCGAUUCUCGAAUCUCAACACCCCCGGACUUACGACGACCGGAACGCUCAGUCGCCUUUCCUUUGCCUUUAUCCACGGCUUUUCCUUUGCCCUUGCCUUUCCCAGCGUCCUUAUCCUUAGCUAAAACUUCAGGAACAAAAGUCUCCCAAUCCUGCUCGUCCUCCUCAGAUUCAUCACCCGGGGCAUACUCACUCCCUUCAUCUUCCGGUUGUUGCUCAACCGGC